rnacentral:lncRNA from 1 species
GACCAAAUGCCUGCUGCCUCGGCUCUCAGCCAUCCCCAGCCGCUGCCGCUUUCUCCCUCGCUCCCUCCCUUCAUCUCCCUUUGUCUGGGGUCUUUGUCUGUGGUCUACCCGUGGUUCAGUCCUCCGCCUUCCCUCCCUUUCUCCCCGGCCUGGCUGCUCCCUCCCUCUCUGCGGGGGCCGGGAGGCUCGGCCUGGGGAGCGGGCUGGGUUGCCAUGGUCACGUCGUGGAAGCCAGCCGCAGCUGGCCCAGGCAGCUGCUCCGGGGCCCUCGAUGGGCGGACAAAGCCAGGCAGCCUUGGCGGCCCCAGAGCUGGAACCCCAAAGGCCUGAGACUGGGGUGACCCUAAGGCCAGGAGAACCCUAAGCUGGAGGUGAGAGGGAGGAAGUCGGAGCUGAAUGGGGAGGGCAGGAGUUGGGACUGGAGUUGGGCCCUCCCCUCACGGGGAGGGACCAGGUGGUCCAGGCUGGAGGUGUGGUGGGAGGAGAGGAGCGUGGAUGGGCUGCCGCCAAGGAGAGGAAAGGAAGGAUGGGGAGUAGAGAAGGCGCUGAGGUGUGGCAGAGGAGGUGCAGGCUAGGAUGUUCCCAAGGGGAGCUCUGGGGCCUCUGUGCCCUGCCAUCCAGAAGCAGGAGGCCAUUGGCUUGAAGAGGAGGGAAGCCCAGAAUGGGAGGACUUGGACGGUGGGAAAGGUAGAGGGUCCUUUGGGGGCUCAGGAGGACGGGGAGGCUUCUGGAGUUGUGAGGGAUUCAGGAGAUGUGGGAUGGGCUCUGGGGGCCAUGGAUGGGUGGGUUGAUGGAUACACUCCAUCUUUGGUGCUACUCUGGGGGACUCUGGACGGCUGGUAUUUCCCUCUCUGGCCCCUGAGAGUCUCGGCUCCGAGCCUCACAUUCCAGCCGGCUCCAGCCCCUUUCUGCUGUCACUUGAUUCCGUUGGGCCCCAGCCCUGCAUCCCUCACACUCCUCCAGCUCUAGGCUUGGAAGAGGUGGGCAUCACCGACUAGGAAUUUCUCCUGGGGGAGAAGAGGGAGCAAAGGUUUCAGGAUUCUAUGGUUUCCUCUAUUCUCCACAGUGGACCCCUCUGUCUGGCACCGCCAUGCCACCUGGACGGGGUCAGCGUGGGCCCGGGGUGUGGUAUGUCCCACUGGGGUGUGAGGGGCUGCGGCUACUCUCCCCUGAGGGGUCAGGCUGCAGCUCAGCCGGGCCGCCUGCCUGGAGCUCCCCCGGAGGACAGCCCCUAGAAGGAGGGGCGGAGAGUCCGCCCAGGUGAGGUUACUUGGGAAACCUUGGCCCCACCCCCAUCCUGGCUCCGCCCCGGGCCCUGCCUCUUCGGGCCCAGAUUUCCCAGCGAUUGUCUCCGGUGGGGUAGGUGCAGCGGGGAACCCUGGGGGUUUGGUAGGAGGGAACGAUGGGAAGAGGCAAUUCUCAGAAUGGCCCCGGGGCUGUUAGUGAGCCCCUUAGCAGUUAUGGGGCCCUAGGGUUUGUGUAUUGACCCGCGGGUUGGAGUUCGUGCCCAUACGUGCCUUGGCCUCUCCCAAGGGCCAGCCUCUUCCUGGUAGUGCUUUUGUGUACUAGUCUGGGACUUCGUGUUUUUUCUUGGGACUGUUGUCUGGGACUGCACGUAGGGUGAGUUUUUAUCUAUCUGCUGUGAGGUGCAAGGGGGCAGAGAUCUGCAGUGGGGUGAGACCUUACCCUG